UACGUAGGGUGCAAGCGUUGUCCGGAAUUAUUGGGCGUAAAGAGCUCGUAGGCGGCCUGUCGCGUCGGCUGUGAAAACCUGGGGCUCAACCCCGGGCCUGCAGCCGAUACGGGCAGGCUAGAAUUCGGUAGGGGAGACUGGAAUUCCUGGUGUAGCGGUGAAAUGCGCAGAUAUCAGGAGGAACACCGGUGGCGAAGGCGGGUCUCUGGGCCGAUAUUGACGCUGAGGAGCGAAAGCGUGGGGAGCGAACAGG
rnacentral:rRNA from 1 species